GGGUUGUGAGGUUAAGCGACUAAGCGUACACGGUGGAUGCCCUGGCAGUCAGAGGCGAUGAAGGACGUGCUAAUCUGCGAUAAGCGUCGGUAAGGUGAUAUGAACCGUUAUAACCGGCGAUUUCCGAAUGGGGAAACCCAGUGUGAUUCGUCACACUAUCAUUAACUGAAUCCAUAGGUUAAUGAGGCGAACCGGGGGAACUGAAACAUCUAAGUACCCCGAGGAAAAGAAAUCAACCGAGAUUCCCCCAGUAGCGGCGAGCGAACGGGGAGGAGCCCAGAGCCUGAAUCAGUAUGUGUGUUAGUGGAAGCGUCUGGAAAGGCGCGCGAUACAGGGUGACAGCCCCGUACACAAAAAUGCACAUGCUGUGAGCUCGAUGAGUAGGGCGGGACACGUGGUAUCCUGUCUGAAUAUGGGGGGACCAUCCUCCAAGGCUAAAUACUCCUGACUGACCGAUAGUGAACCAGUACCGUGAGGGAAAGGCGAAAAGAACCCCGGCGAGGGGAGUGAAAAAGAACCUGAAACCGUGUACGUACAAGCAGUGGGAGCACAGGCUCUGUGUGACUGCGUACCUUUUGUAUAAUGGGUCAGCGACUUAUAUUCUGUAGCAAGGUUAACCGAAUAGGGGAGCCGAAGGGAAACCGAGUCUUAACUGGGCGUUAAGUUGCAGGGUAUAGACCCGAAACCCGGUGAUCUAGCCAUGGGCAGGUUGAAGGUUGGGUAACACUAACUGGAGGACCGAACCGACUAAUGUUGAAAAAUUAGCGGAUGACUUGUGGCUGGGGGUGAAAGGCCAAUCAAACCGGGAGAUAGCUGGUUCUCCCCGAAAGCUAUUUAGGUAGCGCCUCGUGAAUUCAUCUCCGGGGGUAGAGCACUGUUUCGGCAAGGGGGUCAUCCCGACUUACCAACCCGAUGCAAACUGCGAAUACCGGAGAAUGUUAUCACGGGAGACACACGGCGGGUGCUAACGUCCGUCGUGAAGAGGGAAACAACCCAGACCGCCAGCUAAGGUCCCAAAGUCAUGGUUAAGUGGGAAACGAUGUGGGAAGGCCCAGACAGCCAGGAUGUUGGCUUAGAAGCAGCCAUCAUUUAAAGAAAGCGUAAUAGCUCACUGGUCGAGUCGGCCUGCGCGGAAGAUGUAACGGGGCUAAACCAUGCACCGAAGCUGCGGCAGCGACGCUUAUGCGUUGUUGGGUAGGGGAGCGUUCUGUAAGCCUGUGAAGGUGUGCUGUGAGGCAUGCUGGAGGUAUCAGAAGUGCGAAUGCUGACAUAAGUAACGAUAAAGCGGGUGAAAAGCCCGCUCGCCGGAAGACCAAGGGUUCCUGUCCAACGUUAAUCGGGGCAGGGUGAGUCGACCCCUAAGGCGAGGCCGAAAGGCGUAGUCGAUGGGAAACAGGUUAAUAUUCCUGUACUUGGUGUUACUGCGAAGGGGGGACGGAGAAGGCUAUGUUGGCCGGGCGACGGUUGUCCCGGUUUAAGCGUGUAGGCUGGUUUUCCAGGCAAAUCCGGAAAAUCAAGGCUGAGGCGUGAUGACGAGGCACUACGGUGCUGAAGCAACAAAUGCCCUGCUUCCAGGAAAAGCCUCUAAGCAUCAGGUAACAUCAAAUCGUACCCCAAACCGACACAGGUGGUCAGGUAGAGAAUACCAAGGCGCUUGAGAGAACUCGGGUGAAGGAACUAGGCAAAAUGGUGCCGUAACUUCGGGAGAAGGCACGCUGAUAUGUAGGUGAAGUGAUUUACUCAUGGAGCUGAAAUCAGUCGAAGAUACCAGCUGGCUGCAACUGUUUAUUAAAAACACAGCACUGUGCAAACACGAAAGUGGACGUAUACGGUGUGACGCCUGCCCGGUGCCGGAAGGUUAAUUGAUGGGGUCAGCGCAAGCGAAGCUCUUGAUCGAAGCCCCGGUAAACGGCGGCCGUAACUAUAACGGUCCUAAGGUAGCGAAAUUCCUUGUCGGGUAAGUUCCGACCUGCACGAAUGGCGUAAUGAUGGCCAGGCUGUCUCCACCCGAGACUCAGUGAAAUUGAACUCGCUGUGAAGAUGCAGUGUACCCGCGGCAAGACGGAAAGACCCCGUGAACCUUUACUAUAGCUUGACACUGAACAUUGAGCCUUGAUGUGUAGGAUAGGUGGGAGGCUUUGAAGUGUGGACGCCAGUCUGCAUGGAGCCGACCUUGAAAUACCACCCUUUAAUGUUUGAUGUUCUAACGUUGACCCGUAAUCCGGGUUGCGGACAGUGUCUGGUGGGUAGUUUGACUGGGGCGGUCUCCUCCUAAAGAGUAACGGAGGAGCACGAAGGUUGGCUAAUCCUGGUCGGACAUCAGGAGGUUAGUGCAAUGGCAUAAGCCAGCUUGACUGCGAGCGUGACGGCGCGAGCAGGUGCGAAAGCAGGUCAUAGUGAUCCGGUGGUUCUGAAUGGAAGGGCCAUCGCUCAACGGAUAAAAGGUACUCCGGGGAUAACAGGCUGAUACCGCCCAAGAGUUCAUAUCGACGGCGGUGUUUGGCACCUCGAUGUCGGCUCAUCACAUCCUGGGGCUGAAGUAGGUCCCAAGGGUAUGGCUGUUCGCCAUUUAAAGUGGUACGCGAGCUGGGUUUAGAACGUCGUGAGACAGUUCGGUCCCUAUCUGCCGUGGGCGCUGGAGAACUGAGGGGGGCUGCUCCUAGUACGAGAGGACCGGAGUGGACGCAUCACUGGUGUUCGGGUUGUCAUGCCAAUGGCACUGCCCGGUAGCUAAAUGCGGAAGAGAUAAGUGCUGAAAGCAUCUAAGCACGAAACUUGCCCCGAGAUGAGUUCUCCCUGAC
rnacentral:rRNA from 1 species